rnacentral:rRNA from 1 species
UACGUAGGGUGCGAGCGUUGUCCGGAAUUAUUGGGCGUAAAGGGCUCGUAGGCGGUUUGUCGCGUCGGGAGUGAAAAUCCAGGGCUUAACUCUGGACUGGCUUCCGAUACGGGCAGACUAGAGGUAUGCAGGGGAGAACGGAAUUCCUGGUGUAGCGGUGAAAUGCGCAGAUAUCAGGAGGAACACCGGUGGCGAAGGCAGCACUCUGGGACGUGACUGACGCUGAGACGCGAAAGCGUGGGGAGCAAACAGG